CCUUCUUCUAGAAACAUUACAGGUAUAGCUGCUGUGUCGCAUGUGCAUCAGUGGGUUUCAGAGAGGAGAAAGGCUAUGUCUACACUCAGUGUUCUGACCUGUGAACAUCUAAGUGAUUAGCAGUCUAGAAUU
ensembl:snoRNA Gm25387 predicted gene, 25387